ACCUGUUGCGGGCGUAGCGCGUGGUGCCCGCAGCACAAGACAGAACACCGUGUCACAGGAACAACGUGGCAUUUAUGGGCGUU
rnacentral:sRNA from 1 species